AUACGGAGGGUGCAAGCGUUACACGGAAUCACUGGGCGUAAAGCGCGCGCAGGCGGCUAUUUAAGUUGGAUGUGAAAGCCUAUGGCUCAACCAUAGAACUGCAUCCAAAACUAUUUAGCUAGAGUGUGGGAGAGGAAGAUGGAAUUAGUUGUGUAGGAGUAAAAUCCGUAGAGAUAACUAGGAAUACCAAAAGCGAAGGCAAUCUUCUGGAACACUACUGACGCUGAGGCGCGAAAGCGUGGGGAGCAAACAGGAUUAGAAACCCUAGUAGUCC
rnacentral:rRNA from 1 species